ACCCGCUGAACUUAAGCUUAUCAAUAAGCGGAGGAAAAGAAACCAACAGGGAUUGCCCUAGUAACGGCGAGUGAAGCGGCAACAGCUCAAAUUUGAAAUCUGGCUCUUUUAGAGUCCGAGUUGUAAUUUGCAGAGGGCGCUUUGGCUUUGGCAGCGGUCCAAGUUCCUUGGAACAGGACGUCACAGAGGGUGAGAAUCCCGUACGUGGUCGCUGGCUAUUGCCGUGUAAAGCCCCUUCGACGAGUCGAGUUGUUUGGGAAUGCAGCUCUAAAUGGGAGGUACAUUUCUUCUAAAGCUAAAUAUUGGCCAGAGACCGAUAGCGCACAAGUAGAGUGAUCGAAAGAUGAAAAGCACUUUGGAAAGAGAGUCAAACAGCACGUGAAAUUGUUGAAAGGGAAGCGCUUGCAGCCAGACUUGCUUACAGUUGCUCAUCCGGGCUUUUGCCCGGUGCACUCUUCUGUAGGCAGGCCAGCAUCAGUUUGGGCGGUAGGAUAAAGGUCUCUGUCACGUACCUCUCUUCGGGGAGGCCUUAUAGGGGAGACGACAUACUACCAGCCUGGACUGAGGUCCGCGCAUCUGCUAGGAUGCUGGCGUAAUGGCUGU
rnacentral:rRNA from 1 species